GCUCGUUUCAUUUUUUUUCUUUGGUCGCCGCCCACGAUCUCCCAUUAAUCCUUCCGUUUGUUUCGCGUUCUGCUUCUCCCGUCGCCGUCGCCGUCGCCGUCCUGCGACCCGCUGUUGCCGCCGCCCGCCCGUCCUGCGACUCGCCGCCGCCGCCCGCCAGUCAGAUCCGAUGACAGGUGCCGCCCGCCGCCAGGCCAGCACUGCGCAUCCUCGCAUUCAAGACGACCUAGCUUCAGAUCGGGAUGUGGGUGGUGGUUCCUUCGAUUUGGUCACCAGGAUGGAGUGCUCCUUCUUUCGACCCGCUACCUCCUGCGGGAUGGGGCAAGGACGCAACGACGACGGCGACCUGCAGGAGCUCAACUUCCUCACCGUCUCCUCAAGCUUGCAUUUCUUCAGAGGUUUUAUCCCCUGUGUGCAAAGUGCCCUCUCAUCGCCUCCACCCUAUUCCCAUGGUUUUGCUUUAUUUCACACGUAUGUGAUGAUUAUUUGUGUCGUUAGUAGCUGUUAGUAAUCCCCGUGAGCCAAAGGGGACAUGCAUAUCUUCUUGAUUCGUCAUCUACCUUGUGGCGACGAGUUGCCAUUUUGGAUCUGGCCAAAUCUCCUUUGGUUGCCCAUUCAAUCAAGGCUCCGUAGCUUCUUCUCCACAUAGUGAACUUUGUGAAUUUUGGAUUCCUCAUAUAAUUUUGUUGUUAAAUGUUGAUGUGCCCAAUCUGAACUGUUGAUCAUUUGAGUUUCUUCAUGAGAUAUCCUGCUGCCUACGCACAUCCCUUACCAACGAGCUAGGGGCAAUGAGCGUCCCCAGCCUUAACUGCCUCCAAUCUGAAUACAGCCUGUAGAACACCCUUCGUCGAGCAGCUGAUCGCCAACACCAUCCUUUCAACCCCCGGUCAUUUUGUUUUUUACUCUUGCAUGAGAUGUGUUCAGCGAACUGCUCUGUGGUGGGAAUUAUUUUUUAAAUUUAAUACUACUUCAAGUUAUGCAGUAAAGGUGGAUUAGAUUGUUGAUCUCAUGGCUUUGGUAACUGAACUAGACUUUGUUUAGCUUUCUGAAAUCCUGCUGUCAGUUUCUCUCUUCUUAAUUUACAUACAUUGAACUUUAGGCUUAGGUACUUUUCUCUGCAGAUUUGUGCACCUGAUGAUAGUGCUAGAUUAGCCAUAUGUUUUGAUGGAUUAAUAUCACGGCUUGUUCGGCUGGAGGUAAUUAGUGGAAUGGAAUGGAAGUUUAAAUGUGAGAGAUUAAAAAAAAAUCAUGUUUGUUUGGUGGGAAUACAAGUUUUAGCGGGAUGGGGAAUGGAAGCUUAAAAAUCCCUUUCACAUCGCGUGCCAAACACGCUGUUAGUGCACAAAUUGAUCAAAAAGCUUCAGUUUUCAGUUAUUUGGAGAUACAACAAUUAUCUUGCCAUGUUCGUUCUAGUUCCAUUAAAUAAUUUGUGUCCUUUGCUUUCCAAUUUUAGACUACGACUCUUCAGUUGACAUGCUAGAAAAGAAAAUUAAAACUGGUAUUAUAGGUGAUCUGAUAUAUUGUACGAAUAGUCCGCACCAAUUUUGUUUCUGCUCCAUAGUUCUAGGAAGUUAGCUUGGCAAUGACAUGUGAAUUAAUUAUUCCUUGGGAUUAAUAUUUUUCUUACUUAUUACUAGUAGUUCACAGUGUUGAUUCCAUGGUUUGCCAUCUGAACUACUAAGUGAGAUGCAGCUUGGUGAGCCUUAUCCAUGUUUUGUAUCUGCCUAUAUAAGAUUUGAGUGCAUUAGUAAACUAUAUAAGCAGUAAUUUAAUAUGUGAGGCAUAUCCACAUUUCGUUUCUUUCCAAAAUACCAUAAAUGGUUUCCCUGUUGUUAGUUUAUCUCCCUCACUUGUGGGUAGUCUGAGGACACAAGGAGCAUAUUCUGUUGCACCUCCUGUCCACGACUUCAGAUGCUCAUGGUGCACGCCCCUUCAGCAGCUCAUUUUCAAGCAUGAGAGGGAUCUUAUUUACAGGUGGGUGUUCUGAUCAAGCUGUGCUGAAGAUCUUUCGCCUCAGAAUAAACUAUGGCGGCAGAUGAUGCCAGAUGAUCAUAACUGUACAUGUCACAUGCAAAAGACCCUCGAAUGCAGUUAUGCAUAUAUGGGGAUUCAAGAUUUUGUACUGAACUUUUACAGUAAAAAAUUUCAAGUGCAACUGUCCAGUAUUGGACUAUAAAAGUAGUUUAAUGUUCAUAAUGUGUAAAAACAUUACUUAAAAACCUACUCGGAUGACUUGUCAAUGUUGUGCAAAUGUUAAGCUGUUUCAGAGCACGUGUGUAAAACCUCAAUAUUUGUAGUUUGGUGACUCUGUUUUUGUUAAACUUUGCUAUC